rnacentral:rRNA from 1 species
UGAUACCGUAACUUCGGAAGAAGGUAUGCCUUCGACGGUGUAGGGAUUUACUCCCGAAGCUGUUGAAGGUCGCAGGUAAUCGGUGGCUGCGACUGUUUAUCAAAAACACAGGACUCUGCGAACACGCAAGUGGAAGUAUAGGGUCUGACGCCUGCCCGGUGCCGGAAGGUUAAUUGAUGGGGUUAGCCGCAAGGCGAAGCUCUUGAUCGAAGCCCCGGUAAACGGCGGCCGUAACAAUAACGGUCCUAAGGUAGCGAAAUUCCUUGUCGGGUAAGUUCCGACCUGCACGAAUGGCGUAACGCUGGCCACACUGUCUCGACCCGAGACUCAGUGAAGUUGAAAUCGCUGUGAAGAUGCGGCGUUCCCGCGGCAAGACGGAAAGACCCCGUGAACCUUCACUACAGCUUUACACUGAACUUUGAACCUUUCUGUGUAGGAUAGGUGGGAGGCUAUGAAACUUGGGCGCUAGCUCGAGUGGAGCCAACCUUGAAAUACCACCCUGGGAUGUUUGAAGUUCUAACCUUGGUCCGUAAUCCGGAUUGGGGACAGUGUAUGGUGGGUAGUUUGACUGGGGCGGUCUCCUCCCAAAGAGUAACGGAGGAGUGCAAUGGUACGCUCAGCGCGGUCGGUCAUCGCGCUCUAGAGUGCAAAGGCAUAAGCGUGCUUAACUGUGAGACAGACACGUCGAACAGAUACGAAAGUAGGUCUUAGUGAUCCGGUGGUUCUGUAUGGAAGGGCCAUCGCUCAACGGAUAAAAGGUACUCCGGGGAUAACAGGCUUAUUCCUCCCAAGAGUCCACAUCGACUGAGGAGUUUGGCACCUCGAUGUCGGCUCAUCACAUCCUGGGGCUGUAGCAGGUCCCAAGGGUAUGGCUGUUCGCCAUUUAAAGUGGUACGCGAGCUGGGUUCAGAACGUCGUGAGACAGUUCGGUCCCUAUCUGCCGUGGGCGUUGGAAACUUGAGGGUGAGCUGUCCUUAGUACGAGAGGACCGGGAUGGACGUAUCUCUGGUGUUCCGGUUGUCACGCCAGUGGCACUGCCGGGUAGCUAUAUACGGACGGGGUAAGCGCUGAAAGCAUCUAAGCGCGAAGCCCCCCCCAAGAUUAGGUUUCCCUGGGAACUCGAUUCCCCUAAAGGGCCGUCGGAGACUACGACGUUGAUAGGCUGGGUGUGUAAGUGCAGCAAUGCAUUGAGCUAACCAGUACUAAUUGCCCGUGAGGCUUGACC